UUUAAAUUAUUAACUUAUCUAUUCUAUAUAAAUAGAAAUGAUUAAUUGCAUUCCAAAAUAAUAUACUGUAUUGCGUGGUAUCGAUAUUUAUAAAAAAAAAAAAAAGUUUCUGUAGAGCACCAAUAUACCGCUGGUGGCGGGCCGAUCGGUUAAAAAAUAUCAGCAGACGAAAGAGGAAGUUGAAAAGUCGGCUUAGUUUUAAGCUUAACAGAUGCGAAUUGUAGGUCGAUUAGUGCGGAGCACGAAAUUAAUUAUGGAAAAUCCUACCAUAGUCAGGGCUGCUGUGUUUUGGGGUUCAUUUUCUUUAAUAUGGCUAAGUUCUAUAGGAAGUCUAUUGUCUGCAGUAAUAAUUGCAUUGGCUUUUUAUUCAUUUAGUGGAGGAUGGAGAUAUUUGAAAAUGCUGUAUCAAACUACCCCUAGAGAUCUCAGGUAAGUCUUUCGAUAAAUUUUUCCGUUACUUUUUAUUUACUUAUAUUCUAUGUAUUACAGACAAACAACAAUGAUUGGAAUAAUUAAAACAGUUUAUUAUUUAAUAUAAAUCGCAAAGAUGUUUGAGUGUUCGAUAUAAAUCAUAUUCUACAGAUCGUUGACACCGUUUUACAUAGUUGGUUGCUCUAUCGUUAUAUUUAAUCUUUCACUAAAAGCCUAGAAGUAAAAUAAAAUAUACAAUGAACGUUAGAAAUUAAGUAUAUAAAAUUUUAUACUGUUUUUAUAACUUGAUUGAAAAUUUAACAUUUAGC
rnacentral:lncRNA from 1 species